UACGUAGGAUGCAAGCGUUGUCCGGAUUACUGGGCGUAAAGCGCGCGCAGGCGGCACUCGUAAGUACCGCUGUGGAAAUAUCCCGGACUCGAACCGGGAGGGUGCUAGUGUAGACUAGGGAGCUAGAGGUCGGUAGAGGGGGUGGAAGUUGCUGAUGUAGCGGUGAAAUGCGUAGAGAUCAGCAGGAACACCCGUGGCGAAGGCGGCCCCCUGGGCCGUACCUGGACGACUGAGGCGGCGAAAGGCUGAG
rnacentral:rRNA from 1 species